rnacentral:misc_RNA from 1 species
UGAAGGUAUGUCAAAGAUCUUGCCCAAAGUCAAGCUAGUUACAUUUGAUGGAAAGGAACCUAGGGCUUGGAUUAGGAAAUGUAUCAUAUAAUUUGAGGUGUACGGGGUACCUAAAGACCAAAUGGUGGGAAUUGCUAGUCAAUUUUUAGUAGAUAGGGCUGAUGCUUGGCAUCACAAUUCGAUUAAGGGGGCUGGAUCUCAUGCUUGGGAAGAUUUUGAAAGAGAAUUAUGUGGAAGAUUUGGAGAGGAUGGGCUGGAGGAUAUUGUUGAGGAGUUUAUGAAGAUAAGGCAAGAGGGAUCUAUUGAAGAGUAUUUAGAUAAGUAUGAGGAUAUCAAAAUAAGGUUGGAAAGGGUGAUGCC